GUUAAGUCCCGCAACGAGCGCACCCUUGUUCCUAGUGCCAGCAUUAAGUUGGCACUCUAGUGAGACUGCGGGUGACAAACGGAGGAAGGUGGGGACGACGUCAGAUCAUCAUGCCCCUUAUGACCUGGGCUACACACGUGCUACAAUGGACGGUACAACGAAGCGCGAACUCGCGAGGGCAAGCAAAUCUCUUAAAACCGUUCUCAGUUCGGACCUCAGGCUGCAACUAGCCUGCACGAAGUCGGAAUCGCUAGUAAUCGCGGAUCAGCAUGCCGCGGUGAAUACGUUCCCGGGCCUUGUACAGAACGCCCGUCACACCAUGAGAGUUUGUUACACCCUAAGAGGGUGGGGUACCUUUUAGGAGCCAGCCGCCUAAGGUGGGACAGAUGUUUAGGGUGAAGUUGUAUCAAAGGUCGCCA
rnacentral:rRNA from 1 species